rnacentral:tRNA from 1 species
GGGGCAUAGCUCAGGGGAAGAGCAUUUGACUGCAGAUCAAGAGGUCCCCGGUUCAUAUCCGGGUGCCCGCUGCCUCA